UCAGUAAUGGCCCAGAGAUCCGCCUUCGCCACCGGUGUUCCUCCUGAUAUCUGCGCAUUUCACCGCUACACCAGGAAUUCCGAUCUCCCCUACCACACUCUAGCUAGCCCGUAUCGAAUGCAGACCCGGGGUUAAGCCCCGGGCUUUCACAUCCGACGUGACAAGCCGCCUACGAGCUCUUUACGCCCAAUAAUUCCGGACAACGCUUGCGCCCUACGUAUUACCGCGGCUGCUGGCACGUAGUUAGCCGGCGCUUCUUCUGCAGGUACCGUCACUUUCGCUUCUUCCCUGCUGAAAGAGGUUUACAACCCGAAGGCCGUCAUCCCUCACGCGGCGUCGCUGCAUCAGGCUUUCGCCCAUUGUGCAAUAUUCCCCACUGCUGCCUCCCGUAGGAGUCUGGGCCGUGUCUCAGUCCCAGUGUGGCCGGUCGCCCUCUCAGGCCGGCUACCCGUCGUCGCCUUGGUAGGCCAUUACCCCACCAACAAGCUGAUAGGCCGCGGGCUCAUCCUUCACCGCCGGAGCUUUCAACCCCGUCCCAUGCGGGACAGAGUGUUAUCCGGUAUUAGACCCCGUUUCCAGGGCUUGUCCCAGAGUGAAGGGCAGAUUGCCCACGUGUUACUCACCCGUUCGCCACUAAUCCACCACCGAAGUGACUUCAUCGUUCGACUUGCAUGUGUUAAGCACGCCGCCAGCGUUCGUCCUGAGCC
rnacentral:rRNA from 1 species